GUACUCACUUUAGCAUGUAUACUAAAAUUGGAACCGUAUAGAAAAGAUUAACACAGUCCCUGCACAAGAAUGACAUACAAACUCUUGGAAUGUUUCAUUUUUUU